rnacentral:ncRNA from 2 species
UAUUAAGACUAUGUUUCAGGUGCUUUAACUGCUUAAAAGGGAACGCCUGUGGAAAUCAGGGACGGGCCCGCCGCUGUAAUUGGGGACUAAAGCUUUACUUAAGCCACUGUCAGUUGCAAAACAGAUGGGAAGGCAAAGCGAUCAGGAUGAUCCAAAAGUCAGAAGACCUGCCUGGUACAUUGUAUGUAU